CAAUAGCGUAUAUUAAAGUUGUUGCAGUUAAAAAGCUCGUAGUUGGAUUUCGGGGUGGCCUGCCUGGUCCACCGCAAGGUGAGUACUGGUCAGCCGCCCUUCCUCUCGAAAGCCCCGACUGCUCUUCAUUGCAGUGGUCGGGUAGUUCGGGACGUUUACUUUGAAAAAUUAGAGUGUUCAAGGCAGGCUGUCGCCUGAAUACAUUAGCAUGGAAUAAUGGAAGAGGGCCUCGGUCCUAUUUUGUUGGUUUCUAGGGCCGAAGUAAUGAUUAAGAGGGACAGUUGGGGGCAUUCGUAUUUAAUUGUCAGAGGUGAAAUUCUUGGAUUUAUGAAAGACGAACUAGUGCGAAAGCAUUUGCCAAGGAUGUUUUCAUUAA
rnacentral:rRNA from 1 species